rnacentral:rRNA from 1 species
GGUAGGUUACCAGUCG